CGGAAGGGGCGAGCGUUGUUCGGAAUCAUUGGGCGUAAAGGGCGCGUAGGUGGUGCUGUAUGUCUCCCGUGAAAGCCCACGGCUCAACCGUGGCGUGUCGGGAGAAACUGCAGGACUUGAGGCUGGGAGGGGCUGGUGGAAUUCCCUGUGUAGCGGUGAAAUGCGUAGAGAUGGGGGAGAACACUCGUGGCGAAGGCGGCCAGCUAGACCAGUUCUGACACUGAGGCGCGACAGCGUGGGGAGCAAACAGGAUUAGAUACCCUGGUAGUCCACGCUGUAAACGAUGGGCACUAGGUGCCGGCGGUCUUGAUCCCGUCGGUGCCGGCGCUAACGCAGUAAGUGCCCCGCCUGGGGAGUACGGUCGCAAGGCUG
rnacentral:rRNA from 1 species